UACGAAGGGUGCAAGCGUUGUUCGGAAUCAUUGGGCGUAAAGCGCGCGCAGGCGGAUUAAUAAGUCAGGUGUGAAAUCUCGGGGCUCAACCUCGAAACUGCGCCUGAAACUAUUAGUCUAGAAUGUCGGAGGGGGCAGGGGAAUUUCACGUGUAGGGGUAAAAUCCGUAGAGGUGUGAAGGAACACCGGGGGCGAAGGCGCCUGCCUGGACGACUAUUGACGCUGAGGCGCGACAGCAUGGGGAGCAAACGGG
rnacentral:rRNA from 1 species